GAAAGAAAGAAAGAAAGAAAGAAAGAAAGAAAGAAAGAAGGAAAGAAAGAAAGAAAGAAAGAAAGAAAGAAAGAAAGAAAGAAAGAAAGAAAGAAAGAAAGAAAGAAGGAAAGAAAGAAAGAAAGAAAGAAAGAAAGAAAGAAAGAAAGAAAGAAAGAAAGAAAGAAAGAAAGAAAGAAAGAAAUGAACAUUCCAUAAACUUCCACUGUAUCUUUUAUUAUACAUAUUUUUUUAAGAUUAAAUUAAAAUUUUGUUAUUUUAUUUUUUAAUUAUUUUUUAUUAUUCUUAAUUUUGAUUUUUUAUUUCGUAAGCUUCUUUCAGGUAACACCGUGUUUCAAUGCAGAACUCCAUGUAACAUGGGAAUCUGGAAGACUGGAUUCUAUUCCUAUUAUUCAGCUUUUGGAGAACUGCUGACACCACACAUACUGAAAUGAGCACCAACACGAUGCUACCAGGACACAUCACGUAUUUGCCUGGAUGUUCCCCCGUUGACAGGAAAAUCACCUGAACAUGUAAGGGGUUUAACUCUUCCUCUGACUAAGAUGUUAACUGUGAUCAAUGAGUAAAACAACUGAAAGCCAUAGCUGCUUUAUUCUACAUCCUUGCUGCUGACUGUAUUACAAAGCCCCAGCAAAGCCCCAUCAGACAUUUCUAAUAUCUGCUGAGAGUGCAUCAGUGAAUUUUGGGUUCCCACAAUUAAGUCUUCAGGGAAGAAAAAACUACAACAAAGAACACAACACUGUCUGAUAGAGCAAAUUCUCAGUUACAAAACAUUGUUCUUCAACAUAGUCACCACCAUUAGCCAUGUAUUUUUUUCCAGCAAAAAACAAGAGUUUGCAUAUCUUGCUCAUCAAACUCUGCGCUAGCAGAGGUGACCACUGUCACUGUCACCACUGCUGAAACACAC
ensembl:lncRNA